GCGUGAGUCCACUCCACUCCACUCGCUGCAAGUGCACGCAGCGGCGGCGCCCUGCUCGACUCAACGCCUCCGGUGCUUCCAGCUUCCGACGCGCCGCCGCUAAUGCCGAUAGAGUGAUAGGCCCCCCAAUCCCCCACCAUGGAUUCGCCUCCGCCGCAACGCGGCCGCCAUUCGCCGCCGGCGCUGCCCGACGACGACGGCAUGCUCUGCAUCUUUCUCCGCAUCCCGCCGGACGACCCCGCGCGCCUCGUCUGCAAGGGCUGGCGCCGCACCCUAGCCGACCCUCAGUUCUGCCGCCUCUACCGCGAGUUCAACGGCGCACCACCCGUGCUCGGUUUGGUCGUCAACACCGGGGAUGUGGAAUUGUGGAUAGUCCCCGCUGCCGCUUCAUCCCCACCACAUCCUUCCGCCUCCCAGGCCCCGACCGCUACCCUUGCAGCUGGAAGGCGGUCGACUCCCGCCACGGACGCAUCCUCUUAGAGGAUAUGGGUUCAGGAGGAUUCGUCGUCUGGGACCCCAUCACCAACGGCCAUUGGGGAAUGAAAUUCCCCAGUGUGAAUCGCCAACGCUGGACUGGCGCAGUGCUUUGUGCCAAGGAGGGCUGCGACCACCUGGGCUGCCAUGGACCGUCUUUCCUCGUCGCCUUCGUGAGUUGCAUAUAUCAGAAUAAUACCGUGACCACGUCCGCUUGUGUCUACUCAUCCGAGUUUGGUGUGUGGAGCCGCAUGAUCUCCGUGGAGCACCCGAAGCGCGUCAAUAACACCGUGCGUAGCAUCCUUGUGGGAAGUACACUCUACUUUCCCUUUGACAGAAGUUUCAGCGUUCUGGAGUACAAGUUGGGCGAGCAGAAACUGUCUAUCAUCAAUGGUCCGUCCGUGGACCGAAGGCAACGCCAUGUGCUCAUAUCGGCCGAGGACGGUGUGCUCAUGUUUGCGGGCAUGCGAGGGUCUAAGCUCUACCUGUGGUCAACUGUGGUCGGUCCUGACGGAUCUUCGGCAUGGGCGCAGCACAGGGUCAUCGAGCUCGAAAAGCUGCUACCCCCUAUUGCUUUCACGCCCAAACCCCAUUCGGGUGUGCCCCAUGAGUCUGGACCCAAUGUGUCUGGCUUCGCAGAUGGUAUCAUCUUCUUGAGUACAAUGGCUGGAUUAUUUACUGUUGAGCUCAAUUCAGGCCGAACCAAGAAGGUUGCGGAAGAAAAAAUGGCUCUCCAAGUCACUCCCAUCAUAAGCUUCUACACUCAAGAACGCACUGGGGUCAGGCUGCCACUGCCAUGACAUGGAUCAUCCAUCCAUCAACAUGAACCUGCUGCUGUUUUCCAAUGAUGAAUUCUGGAGCUUCCUGAAUAUUGGCUAAGUUUCUUUGGAGAAAUGUUGGAGCCUUCUGGGCGUAUGACGUUAAGUAUUGAACUUUUGACUUGGUUUCAAAGGAACAACAGCUUUCUAGUCGGUUUGUUGCUUUCAGAGGAACGGCAGCUUUCUAUUCAAGUAUUCAGUUAGUCCAGUGUGACCAUAUAAAUAUAAGAUUUCUCAUUCCGUUACAAUGCGUGACUAAGUGUUUGCAUUGUGUUGUGACUGAGACGUGCUCAUUUGUGUUGUAAUGCUCUUGGUAGCGCAAAAGUAUGAAUGAAUAUGCAGAGUUCGACAUAAUUUGGGAUCAUGCAUACAUAGUGAGAGAAGGCUAGUGAACAAACCAUGGCUUGAGAAUUUUGGAAAUCCAAGUCAAUUAACUUUACCUCUACAUUCUAGCCUGCAAAUCCAUGUAUCAUUCAGAGCUAACACAUAGGCAAGGCUUCAAUAUUCAGUCAUCUAUCGAAUUUAUAGUAUACUCAAUCCACCUGCACUGCAUACAUAACCUUUUUUCCCCAUAAAACUAUUGUGGGAAAUUACAAAUCUAAUGGCAUCCCAAACUGCUGGGACCCAGCACGACAGUGCUGAGGUUAUUCCAUGGGUUUUGUCCAUCCUAGCAUGUACUUAGUGGCAUGAUCGUGCGGUGUGAGUAUUCUUUGUAAUCGCAAUAAACGGUUAGUGUCCUAGGAACUUUGAUACAUUCUCGUGUCUUUUGCAAAAAGAAGUAUAAAUAUGUGUGUCAUGAUGAUAGAUACGAUGUAUAAUGGACAUCAGUGCACCUUCGCACUUCGCCAUGUAAUUAGAUUCUGAAGUUUCCGCGGCAGACCACCACACACGGUGUUUAGGAAUUUUUGCUCAUAGCCGAGUGUUUGGGUUCAAGAGUUGCCAACGCGGCAUGUAACUUUUAAGCGCCAAGGAGUUUGAGUUAUUUCCAUUUGUCCCCAGUUGGGUAGUUGAGGCCUUGAGGGUUGAAAUUGACUAGAGUAAAUUGUUGAUAUGCUAUCAUGCCAUUGGUGAAAAGAAGUCUGCGUAUGUGUUAUUAUUAUUAUUUUAGAUUCAAGGGAUCGUGGGAACCAACCUGUGGUUUGAUGGUUAGAGGGACUGUGGUAUCCUCAGCCCACCAGGGUUCAAGUCCUGGUGCUCGCAUUUAUUCCUGAAUUUAUUUCAUGAUUUAACGGUGACUUCGUAAAUUUCAAGAUGAUAUGCCGGCUCAGUCUUUCGGAGGUGCUCAUAGGGGUAGGGUGUGCCUGUGUGCGUUCAUAGGAGUGAGUGUAUGCGCGUAUAUAUGAGCGCUUGCGUCCAUGUGGGUAGAUGCUGAAGUUUCUGUGGCACACAACACCAAACACUACCAUUUUGGAGCUUUUGCACAUAGCUUAGAUUGCUGCAGUGUUUAAAUUUGAGAGUUGCCAAUGUGGCAUGCCAUUUCUAAAUGCCCCCAUUUUUAAAGACACGACAAACUACCGUCGUUUCAUAUAUUAAGUGGGGAGAGGGCGACAAAAGCGUUCAUGAUCAAUUGAUCAUGGUGGUUACAAGAUUUUGGUGAAACAUUUCGCCUGGCGAUGCGGAUCCCUGGAGGACUAGCCUGGAUCCCCAAGUGGUGUCUCUAGGCAUUUGCCCCCCCGUGAUUUUCCAGUAGUCCAUAUCCUGUCUAAUCGCCUUAACAAUUUCUGUGAUCUGAAUCUCUUUCUGUCUAAAUGUGCGGUUGUUCCUUUCUACCCAGAUAUGCCAAGAGACCAGGAACAUCAUGGUUUUCAGCUUCGCCUUGAGGUUUGCUCUUGACAGUUGAAGCAUGUUGUGCACUCGUUGAGCAGAGGAGGUGUUGUUGUCCUCGGCAGCAACAAGUGAAGAAAGUUUUUCGUAGCCUGGCCAGGUGGAAACACGACGCCAAAUCUCCUUUGACACCGGGCAUUCCCCGAAGAGGUGAGUAGAGGUCUCUAAAUUCCACCUGCACAGCGGGCAGAAGGACCCAUUUUCUCAGCCAUCGCAUUGUAGCCUAUCAUUGCACCAUAGCCUAUCUUGUAGCAUCACCAAGAAGAAGAAAUUUGAUCUUGCCAGGGGCCAGGUUUUCCAGAUUAGCAUCUUGUUGUCUGUUUUUGGCAGGGUAUCAAACUGCAACUUGUAGGCAGAGCUGGGUAGUGUAAGAACAUGAGCUGCUCAGACCCCAGGUGAUCUGAUCUUCAACAUGC